GUAAACUAAGCGUUCAGAGCAGGCCAAAGCCCUGGCUAUCGGAAACUGUUUCAUUUACCCUUCGCCCUGACCACCUAGGAAAGAAUCACCUCAGCCAUAAACCGAGGCUCCCACAGUUCACCUACAGUGGCCCACAGGGUAAAGCAGUCGCACUCGAGCGUGAAAAAAUUGUAUGACAACUCAAUGAAUAAAAUGAAUAAAAUGGCUGCAGUAAUGACUCGGGUGAGGUGGCGGCUCCACUCGGCUAGUUGUGCAGUUUUAUUACUGCGAGGAGAAGAAGAUUUACCAAAACAGGUGAAGGUGGAGCUGAGCAACAGUUAGAGCUGCAGGAGAUGGAAAACAUGAACGUUGCUGAUCAGAAUCUCAAACACGUGGUUUUGUGGCUUUAUAACAGACAGACAUGUCAACGUAAUGCUCUCAUUAAAGGGUCAUUUUCAUUCCAAAGCAAUUUAAAAUUUAAAAUAUAAUUGGAUAUACACUACAGCGACUUCUGGAGUUGUUUUUGUGGGAGAAUUUAACUUCUGCAUCUAAAAAAGCCAAACUGGAAGUGACAUAACAGAAGGGAGAACAAUAAGAAAUGAUUGGAUCUCUUUUGACACUGAAGAGGUUGUAAAUGUUUAUUCAUACGCAUAUGACAGACCACAGCCUUGUAAUUAUGAGCCUGCUAGGCGUCCAAGAGACCAGGAACAGACCAGGUUUAGAAGGAAUAACAGUCAGAGGAGAGAAAUUGAGUUGUGGUGUGAGGAGAACCAGUGGAGAACUGGUCAGCUGUCUUGGUGCUUGUGUAGGAAAUACCAGCCCAUGGCCUCAGCUAUAGAGAAUAUGUGCUGCAGGGAUGUUGAUGCCUUCUGGGCCCUGACAGAAAAUCUCUCCUACAGACCUGAUACACCGUGCCUGACACUGCACCCACGCUUUGAAGCAUGCUGUCUGAAUCCCUUUGUGCAACAGAUACCCUACAUGAACUUCAGGCAGAAGCAUGGCCCUCUCCAGGCCAGCAGACAUGAGCAAUGCCUCUACACAGCUUACAGGCAGGUUGUCCGCUGGGCCGGCACAUUAGGAAACCCUUAGCUACCUGCAUGUGUUGUGUCUGCCAUCAGAAGAGUUUCCAGAGGAAGGAGGAAUUUACAAAGGAUUGUAAUGGCCUUAAUUGGGUGGCAAUAA